rnacentral:tRNA from 1 species
UACACCAGUCUUGUAAACCGGACGUCGAAGGUUAAAGUCCUUCCUACUG